AAACCAACAGGGAUUGCCCUAGUAACGGCGAGUGAAGCGGCAACAGCUCAAAUUUGAAAUCUGGCGCAAGCCCGAGUUGUAAUUUGCAGAGGAUGCUUCUGGGCAGCGGCCGGUCUAAGUUCCUUGGAACAGGACGUCAUAGAGGGUGAGAAUCCCGUAUGCGACCGGUUGGCACCCGUCACGUAGCUCCUUCGACGAGUCGAGUUGUUUGGGAAUGCAGCUCUAAAUGGGUGGUAAAUGUCAUCUAAAGCUAAAUACCGGCCAGAGACCGAUAGCGCACAAGUAGAGUGAUCGAAAGAUGAAAAGUACUUUGGAAAGAGAGUUAAAAAGCACGUGAAAUUGUUGAAAGGGAAGCGCAUGCAACCAGACUUGUCCGCGGUGUUCCGCCGGUCUUCUGACCGGUCUACUCGCCGUGGGCAGGCCAGCAUCGUCUGGGCGCGCCGGACAAAGGCGCAGGGAAUGUAGCCCCUCGGGGUGUUAUAGCUCUGCGCACAAUACGGCGCCGCCCGGGCGAGGUCCGCGCUUCGGCUAGGAUGCUGGCGUAAUGGUUGUCUGCGGC
rnacentral:rRNA from 1 species